AUUGAACGCUGGCGGCAGGCCUAACACAUGCAAGUCGAACGGUAACAGGAAGAAGCUUGCUUCUUUGCUAACGAGUGGCGGACGGGUGAGUAAUGUCUGGGAAACUGCCUGAUGGAGGGGGAUAACUACUGGAAACGGUAGCUAAUACCGCAUAACGUCGCAAGACCAAAGAGGGGGACCUUCGGGCCUCUUGCCCUCGGAUGUGCCCAGAUGGGAUUAGCUAGUAGGUGGGGUAACGGCUCACCUAGGCGACGAUCCCUAGCUGGUCUGAGAGGAUGACCAGCCACACUGGAACUGAGACACGGUCCAGACUCCUACGGGAGGCAGCAGUGGGGAAUAUUGCACAAUGGGCGCAAGCCUGAUGCAGCCAUGCCGCGUGUAGGAAGAAGGCCUUCGGGUUGUAAAGUACUUUCAGCGGGGAGGAAGGGAGUAAAGUUAAUACCUUUGCUCAUUGACGUUACCCGCAGAAGAAGCACCGGCUAACUCCGUG
rnacentral:rRNA from 1 species